GACGAACGCUGGCGGCGUGCUUAACACAUGCAAGUCGAACGGAAAGGCCCUGCUUUUGUGGGGUGCUCGAGUGGCGAACGGGUGAGUAACACGUGAGUAACCUGCCCUUGACUUUGGGAUAACUUCAGGAAACUGGGGCUAAUACCGGAUAGGAGCUCCUGCUGCAUGGUGGGGGUUGGAAAGUUUCGGCGGUUGGGGCUGGACUCGCGGCUUAUCAGCUUGUUGGUGGGGUAGUGGCUUACCAAGGCUUUGACGGGUAGCCGGCCUGAGAGGGUGAACGGCGACAUUGGGACUGAGAUACGGCGCAGACGCCUACGGGAGGCAGCAGUGGGGAAUAUUGCACAAUGGGCGCGAGCCUGAUGCGGCGACGCUGCGUGCGGGAUGACGGCCUUCGGGUUGUAAACCGCUUUCGCCUGAGACGAAGCGUGAGUGACGGUAACGGAUGAAGAAGCACCGGCUAACUACGUG
rnacentral:rRNA from 1 species